GAUACCCUAUUAUUUUUAGUGUGAUUUUUAGCUUUAGAUAUUAGUAGUUAAGAUCUUUAAAAUUAAACAAUUUGGCGGUGUUUUAGUCUGUUCAGAGGAACCUGUUUUUUAAUCGAUAGUCCACGUUGAUUGUGACUUUUGUUAAAAAUUUAUAUAUCGUCGUUUACAAAAAUUUUUAAAGGAUUAUAAUUUUUGAUUUUUUAUAUUUAGGCUUAUUUCAGAUCAAGGUGUAGUUUAUAUAAAAGUUAAAAUGGGUUACAUUUAAUUUAUUAAUGGUUUCAGGGUUUGGAAUUUUGAAUAAAUUGGAUUUGAAAGUAAAUAUUUUUUCUAUGAUUGUUGAUUUAGCUCUAAAAUAUGCACACAUCGCC
rnacentral:rRNA from 1 species